CCCUGUCGCCGGGAGCGGGGAAGGAGCACACACCUUUACAAAUGCAUUUUUGGGUAGAUAUAUAGUUCAAGAUAAAGUAGGGCUAAGUACACUCUUCCCUUGGCUGGCGGGGGAUUGGUUUCAGGACCCUCCAUAGAUAUGGAAGACCAGUAUAUCCAACUGGGCACAGAUGGAAAAAUAUCCCUAUUCCAGCUUCACAAUGAAACCAAAGUUUUGGUGCUUGACACCUGCAGCAGCUGAUAGAGACAAGAAACAUCCAUCAUGAUGGCUGCUCUACUAGCCUAAGUCCCCAAAGAGAGAAGGUUGAAGAGCAGAUCUCUAGCCAAUCUACUCCAGACCCAUAAUGA